UAUGUGGAAUUUGUCUUAUUUACCGUUAUUACAUUAAGGUAUAAAUAAAAUACGUGUAUCACAAUACCCUAAAAAUUGGUCUAUAUUCUGAAAAAAAAUUUACCUACACAGUACACUAUAAGAAUGAUGCCGGAAACUAAUUUUCAAUUUGCCUUUUUAAAUACAAAAAAAAGUGCAGUUUGACAGUUUUUUGGCGUCAUGCGGUGAAUUCAAUGCAUCACACCCUAUUUGAUUUAUACGCCAAAAUAUAUUUGGGAUUAGUGAUAUAUUAUAUAUUUAUAUACUCUGCAGACCCUUGUAAAACGUAUAAUGUCUGCCUGCUACAAUAUGGCAGCUAAACUGACUAAAAUUAUAUACGUGAACAUGACACACUAUACAUUAUAAUAUAGCGCCAGUAAAGUGUAAACUGUUAUACGCAUUGCAAACGUGGAACAUGCGAUUAUUGGACUUAUACGUCGUAAUCACAGUCUUAUAUUGUCUUAUUAUUUAAGACCGUGAUAUUUAUAAUAUUAACCUUGGUUAUAAUCACGGAUAUGUGGUUAUAAUGAACUUUGUGGCGAGCACUAUCAUUUUAUAAUCAUUAAUCACCAUAGUUUUUAUACCAUGCAGCUCUUAGACCAUAUACAAUCCAAUUUCUAAUUUUGUAUAUGAUCUAAGAUGCAGUUGAUCACCUCAAUAUCACAAAUUGUCGUUAAGUCAAGUUGAUAAUGCAACAGAUAAUGCUGUCAAAUCUAAUAUAAUUGAAUGUGAAUUCUCAAAUCUUCUCUUACCUUAGCUGCUCAAAAAAGUGUUUAGCCCCUCCCAUUUAAAAAUCCUGGCUACGCCACUGCGUCGUAUGAUAUAUAUAGAUAACUAAAGAUAACAGAAAAGCGGGACCGGAUACGAACUGUAUAAUAUGAUAUAAAUAUAAAUCUAAAUGCAUAUUAUGGAGAGACCACGCGUUGCAGUUUAAGAUCACGGUGAACGUCUUCUCUUCAAAACUGUUGCCUGCAGUUGGGCGUUGGACGCGUGCGGUUUUGGUGGUAGUUUUUUUGUCGCGCUUGUAUAUUAUGUAGAGAAACAAUUAUUGAAAGAAAUCGAAAUUUUAAAUCUUUUCGUUUUCCAACCGUUUAAUGCGUGCCAUGUACAAAAAAAAGGUAUAAUAGUAAAUACCUAAUACAGUAAUGACAUGAAAAAAAAAACAGUCAUUGUAUAAAUGAUAAUUUAAUAUAGACAUUCCUCGCCUUGUACUCGGAAUAUCAUCUUCCGAGAAUCAUAAUCGAAGGAAUCGAUGCGCCUCGACAUAACUUAUACACCCCAUCGACUUCACUCGAGACCCUGCAGCAGUCGCCACCAAAGGUCGAUCAUAGCUAUGUAUGUGUGUACAUAUAAUAGAGAUUACCAUCGAAUGUGCGGUCCCACACCUCUUGGGUGGGCAGGCGGGCGCUGCAGGAUGCGAUUGAAUGGACGGCGAUUGUAUAUAUACAUGUGGUCGGACGGCCGAAGGGGAAGAAUUUAAACAUCGAUAUUCAAUCGCAGUUAUACGUGUCUGUAAACGCGUUUCGUUUUAAUAUUUUAGUGAUGCGUAAUAUAAAAGUAUUAUGUUGGUCAAUUUAUCGAUUCUCAAGAUCCCGUUGACUGCACCAAAAACAAAAAUCUUAUGUAAUUAUAUAGGUAUAUGGAAGUCUAUAUUUGAUAUAUAUAUAUAUAUUAUAUAAACGUGCAUAUAACGGCUUUGUAUAUUCCCCACUGAGCACUUUUCAGUGAUCGCGAGUUAUAUAAAUAAUAUAUUACAAUAUUUUGAAUGUGACUAGAGUAAAAAAUGUAAAAUGUCAAUACGUUUACUGGAAAAACAAAAAAUAUAGUUAUCCCUCGGCGGUCCGCGUACUAGUGUGGUCGCCACUGAGUUCCAAUAUUUAGUUUAAUACUAUUUUGUUAUAUACUUAUAUUGAAGGUGUGCUCGUUAUUACACGCAAAUACAUACACAUAACACAUUGCACACAAAUAUACACACACAAUAUACUUUACACAGUAUGUUCACGAAACGACAAUAGUGUCUAUAGUGUGCUUAGUCCCCGGCUACGGUCGUAGUGUAGUGUGUACUCGUGUCAAUCGAUGGUAUUCGCAAUGUUACGAGUUUACGACGACCAUGGUCGCCUGCAGUCGCGAACUCGCGUCUAUAUACAACCUAAAUUUACAGUAUAUUGCGAUCACCGAGUGGAACGCGUAUACACUCAUCGGUCAUCAACAUCAACUAUAAAUUAUAAUAUACAUCCAAUUAUAAUAGAAACUAUAUCCAUUUUUAUUUCUAUUAAUUUUGCGUACUAUUAAUAAGAUUAGUUUAACUAUAUCGGUUGAUUGUUUAAAUUAUAUUCGAUGCGGCUUUUGAAUACAAACGACUUUUUACUCCUACCUGGCGACCUAUUCUAAUAAUAUAAUUUAAUAUAUGUAUGUAAAUAUGUAAUUAUAUCCAUGCAGUCGUGCAGAUAUAUAUUCAAUAUAAUAAUAUCUAAUAACGAUAUUACCUGGCUGCAACGAGUCGUGUAUGGAGCUUGUACAUAAUAUAAUAUAUAUUUUAUGGGUAUAAUGUAAUUAUAUUGACGUCCGUAAAGUGUGUAGGUUACCACAUAACCUAGCCACACAUAAUAUUACGAUUAACGAAGUGUCUCGAAAUCUUCUCUAAAGUGUUGACAGUAGUUUUUGAGAAUUCACCUUUCAAGUACACUCCAUACUUUUUGUAAAAGUUUGAAUUCUUGUUAUUAGUGUGUAUAGGCCCAGUAGCGGAUCCAGGGGGGCUUGGGGCUUCGCCCCCCCAGACCUCUUCAACAUGUAAACAUAUAGGUAACUAAUUAUUAACAUACACGAUUCCUAAUACAACCAUAGUAAAAUUAAUAACAUUUCAUUUUGAAGAUGGUUAACUUUCUACCUUCAACCCAAGCUAUACUUGCAGAAGGUAGAUCAUUUUAAUCAAUUUAUGUAUAUAAAUGUUAUAAAUGUUAUGUAUGUAAUUGAGAAAAACAAAAUUUAACGUUUCAUUUAUUCAUUUCUUUCAUAUUUUGAAGAACGUCUACUAGAACAUUAUAAUUUAUAAUGUAUGUUGUAUUUAUGGCUUAGAACUUAGAAGUAAUCUUUUUAGGAGACACCUAAAAUUCAACACUGGAUCUGCCACUGUGAGCAGAAGACUUGCAGUGCUGCUUAGUCCCCUGUGUGCAGUCGUGCUCAGGUAUGGGCCGCAUCAACCGGGACGUUUGGUUUUUGUUAGUUCGACUCGGAAAUCAGAAUUGGUGCCAAACGAUGUUUUGCGAUUUUUAAGUUUAUGUAUUUCGACGAGAGUCUUAUAUGGGACGUCAUCGCACAUGUAGCUAUGAAUGUUUCGUUUAAAAAUUCGUUUCGCCCGUAAGAUGUCGGUUUAUAUUAUAUUUUAAUGUGUACGCCACAAUAUUGCUAGAGCCAAGAAUAUACAACAUACUUAUAUAGUUAUAUAGGUACUCGUAUUUUAUUAAAACACAUCUAAAUUUAGGUACUAUUGUCUAGUAUUAUGUUUAAUGUCCUAACGCUACGCGUAAUAUCUACACACGACUACUAUACUAUAUAGUAUAUAUUAUUAUAAUAUUAUACGCGUAUUUCAAAAAGAGUGUCCCCAAUGAGAAGACGGUGUUGAUGGCCGAGAUCCAAAAUGUUCGGCGUGCGAAAUUCCGAUCGUUUCCUUUUACGUCACACGUGUGUGCCAAAUGCUAUGAUGCGCGUUAUAUAACAGUGCAUAAAUGUGACGUGCACAGAUCGGUAUAUUAUAAUAUAGAUCUGUGUGUAUAUUAUUAUCAUUACUGUAUAUGUGUAUAUGCUUGUACACACACGCACGCACCGCACACAUCCUGUUCGGUGUUCCAGUUAUCCACGUGUAUAUCAUGAUGUAUAUUAUAUACCUACUCAAUAACGUUCUGAAUUAUACAUAUUAUAUCUGCUUUCUCUCUCUCUCACAUGCGAUGCAUACGCGACUCAACGUCCCUCGUCCAGCGGUCUCUCAAAGGCCAGCCAAACGGUAUCGAACCUAUCGUGUCGCUCGCGAGUUUCUAUGCGAUGACGGUGACGAAGAUGAUAACGAUGUAAAUACGAUGAGCCGAUCAUACCAAGAGGUUAUAAUAUAUAAUAUUAUAAUAUAAAAGGUACAAGGUCGACGUUUGUCGCACGCAGUCAGCGAAAACUGCUUACGUUCUCACAAGCAUUGUCGUCCCGGAAUCUUGACGAUCCACCGUCACCGCCUCCGAAGCACCCGCGACGUCCGCUUCGUGCAGUCGCUUUCGGACGAGCGCGCAGUUUCGCCGGACACAACAGCUCCGCCAAAAGCUUUUACUCACGCAAAAAUCGAUGGAGGUGGUGGUGACGACGACGUCUGUGGAGGUGGUGGCGGCGGCGGUGGGCCACCAACGAGCUGUGGGAACACGGAGGUCAGUGGAAUGGGGGGCACAUUCCGGCGGCGGCGAAGGACCGGUCUGUCGUGUGUUGCGUGUGCGCGAUACCGCGUGUGUGUGUCAGUGCGAUGCGCGUGCGUGCAAGUGUCGAUGCGUUUGUAUAUGCUAAGCCGCCGUGCAAGGGUUAUCGACCCGUACUGUGGUAUGCGGUUGCAGCGGUAUGUCGCAUUUCUUUGAAACACCACUUUAGAUUUAUAUGUAUAAUAAUAAUAUAGUAUAUGUGAGCAGCGUGAUGCAUGUCUGUGCUUGUAGUCCCGAGGACGCGUAUGUGCAGUUUAAUUCAUGUAUACGAUCCGAAGGGUGAAUUUACUAGUAUUUACUUACACGUACGUUUGAUCUACGCAUACGUCGUUGUUAGGGAGGUAAGGCGCUGGAUGGGGUGGGAAGGGGACCCGCCGUAUUAAUAAAAAGGUUCUUAAAAUGAUUGUCUAGUCGCAAUCGUACAUCAUCAUUUAUAUAAUAUAGUGGUAACUGGAAGUAGAGUAUAGCAGAGUAGUAGCUAUCUGCUAUAGUACAGAGCUAUAGCUAUAGUAAUAUAUAAUAGUAGUAAUUGUAGUAAUAGUAGUCGUCUUUGAGGAAUUCGCCUUUUUCGUCGUUUAUUGACCUUACCUUUCGUUUUUAAAAACUUUCACGUAGACAAUUCGCGUUUCUGUCUACCACCGUCGUCUGCUAAGCACAACAAUCUGCCACAAUGAAAUCGUACAACGAAGUUCGACACGAAAAAGUAGCAUAAUCUUGUAAUAUACCGAAUACUAUAUUUAUUAUAUUAUAUUGUAACCGCCGGGGCAUCAGUAGACGUUAAUUUUAGUCUGACCGACAACCUUCGCCACACUGUCCAAGGGAGACACGACCCCUCUCCCGUAUAGCGUGUCGUCGUAUACUCGUACCGUCUAUUCAUUACGCCGUCGUGUAUAUUCAAUUAAACCUAAUUAAUGCGACUGGGACACACGUUUGGGCCAUUUGAUUGGCCGAAUUCCAAUUCUUAUGCUUUUCUCCGGAUCUCACUCCUUAUAUUAUUAUACAUCGCGACGUCCUCCUCUCCCUCCACCGGUCCCACAUAAUGCAGGCCCGUUCGUGUUUCCAAACCGGCGAGUCCUGACGAAGACUUUAAUACAACAAAUAACAAUAUAAUAAUAUUAUAUUAUAGUAUGUUAUUAUUACCUGUGCGCAACAUUCCGGCCGGUGGCGUCGCGUGUAAUAUAUUGUGUGCGCGUCGGCAGUUUGGUGGUGAAUGCAUCGUUCGAAUGUUUAUUGCCUCUGUUUCACAGAACCUCAUCGUCAUCACCGGUCGAUUGGUGACGGUUUUAUAUAAAUUAUUGUUAUUUUACACAUCACCGUGCGUGUGUGAGCGCGUGAGCAUGUUUAUACAAUGAUAUAUUUCUGCGAAUUAUCAUCAGCCGUUACUCAGAAAUCUCCACGGACCAAAUCGAUAAAUUCUCAUGGCAAACCCACCCCCCGUUCCAACCAAUCCACUCGCGAACAAACGCCACCGCCACACCACCGCUGAGCAACACGUCCUCUUUCAGCGGAUAAAUUAAUUAGCGCUGCAUGCGUGCAUUCAGUCUGGGGAUGAUUCAACACCGGUACAAUAUAACAACGUUAUGAUAUUUUAUAGUGUAUGCGGUCUCGAGCACGUGGCAAUUAUUCAGUAAUGCGAUUUUGUCGCAUCGGACUAUUUUUUCCUACGAUGACGUCACGUGCGGCCUAUGAACACACACGCACACACAUAACGUCGUCCAGACGAGCGUAUUACCACGACGGGAAACGCAUACGAACGAGCGUUGAUGUCUGUGCGUGCGUGCGUACGUGCGUAUGCGAGUGAUGUGUGCGUGUAUGAAUAAAAAGAAUGUCGCUUAUUAAACGGCGCUGCGACGUGUGCGUGUGUGGAUUGGUGGGAGGCGCCGCCCGCGUUCGUACGUCUGCUGUUCGCCGACCCCUCCACCGCCCAUCAACCCCCUUUCCGCGCCACCAUACGCCCCCCACCGGGUAAAACACACACGCAUUACACACCGCCCACCCACCCCAUCAACGGUGUCACGCGGUGAAGAGGGAAGUAAAUUAUUUUCUGAAUGAAACCGCCGCGACGAAGGUGAGCGGGUGAGACGGUCGCGUCGCCGCCAACGGAGUACGGACGACGGUCACUGUGUGUGCGAUCGACGGUGCUCGGUCGGGUUUGGCGGCGCCCCGCGAACGCUGCUCGCUCGUCUUCACAUCGGCGCGCAACGUCCGCCCGUCCACGGGUGUGAUGGGUGCAAGCGAGAACGAGGAAUACGACGUGCGCUUGCGUGCGUGGAGCGAGCGAGCGAGCAGCCAGCCACCCAGCCGGCCGGCUGACGCGCGAGCGGUCUGACAUUCGGUGGGGAAUACCGUGGUACCAACCGAACGCGGCCUUUCGCCGCGUACGUGUACAAACUGUAUACAUACGGAGCUGCCAGUCGCGCGGUCGGUAGUUGGUAUCGGGAUUCGGGUUCGCAGUCGCCGUUUUGUUUUAUUGCUAGUGAGUCGUGCGUCUGCUGCGUCUGCGUGCGUGUGUCUGCGGUGUCUGACGACGCUCCUGCUCCACAGCUACAUUAUUUCGCUCUCUGCGCCGAACCGCGAACGUGUCGCGUCAUAGUACAGUUUUUAAAAAUAAUUUUAUUUUGUCGAAGUUUUUCUUUUUCCCACCCCUCCGAGGAUACGAUAUUUUCGUCGGUUACACGGUUUUUCGGCUCACUUCGGUCUUCCUUUGAACGGUUAUCAUUUUUUUUUUAUAAUACCUAUGUGCUAUUAUUUACACCGCACUUCAAAAAAUAUUUUUUUUGCAAUAUUAUAAUUUUCCAAUGAAAUAAAUUGUUUUUCCAACCCGUUACACAAGUCGCUAAUCCAGUUCGACCGUCGCCGGACGGGCAAAGCACACGAUGUCGGAUCGCCGGGCGUCUAUGGUCUCGCUCAUCGACCGGAAACGCAGGAAACGGAACACGUGGUUUCGUAUGUCUCCUAUAGACGUGUUCGCUGCCAAAUGGAUAACAAUUUUAAUGGUUGUUUUUUUUUUCAUUGAUCUCAAUCUGAGUACUCUUGGCUAGAAGUUAAAAUGACUUCAAUAUGAACAUUUGGUUUAAGCUCUUCAAAAUUAAUUUAAAAAGUGUAUAACAAUAUUUUGUAUCAUAAGAAUGGCUAGAAUAACAUUUAAAUGUAUGCAUUUUAGUGAUAACAAAUUUUCAUUAUAGGUACAUUUAGCAAUCGAGAUAUUUUUAAAUUAGUUAUUACAGUUAAUUACAGUAUUAUGCAUGUUUGAAUAUAAUAUAAUAUAUAAUAUAUAAAUAAAUGUUGUAUAUUGUUAGUGAUUUCUGUGAAAUAGAUUUUAAGUUAUUACUAUAACAAGUAUUUUAUUUAAACAAUGUUAUGUGAAACCUAUGUUGUGACUUGUGUACAUAGUUAAGUCUUGUAUAUGUACCUUAUAAAUUAUAAUAUUUGUCUGUUCUUUAGGUCAAAGGGUAUUUUAUGUUUAAUAAAAUGUUGACUUAA